rnacentral:rRNA from 1 species
GCCACGGCUAACUACGUGCCAGCAGCCGCGGUAAUACGUAGGUGGCAAGCGUUGUCCGGAAUUAUUGGGCGUAAAGCGCGCGCAGGCGGUCCUUUAAGUCUGAUGUGAAAGCCCACGGCUCAACCGUGGAGGGUCAUUGGAAACUGGGGGACUUGAGUGCAGGAGAGAAGAGUGGAAUUCCACGUGUAGCGGUGAAAUGCGUAGAGAUGUGGAGGAACACCAGUGGCGAAGGCGACUCUUUGGCCUGUAACUGACGCUGAGGCGCGAAAGCGUGGGGAGCAAACAGGAUUAGAUACCCUGGUAGUCCACGCCGUAAACGAUGAGUGCUAAGUGUUAGAGGGUUUCCGCCCUUUAGUGCUGCAGUAAACGCAUUAAGCACUCCGCCUGGGGAGUACGGCCGCA